rnacentral:rRNA from 1 species
ACUCCUGCGGGAGGCAGCAGUGGGGAAUUUUGGACAAUGGGCGCAAGCCUGAUCCAGCCAUGCCGCGUGCGGGAAGAAGGCCUUCGGGUUGUAAACCGCUUUUGUCAGGGAAGAAAAGGUUCUGGCUAAUACCUGGGACUCAUGACGGUACCUGAAGAAUAAGCACCGGCUAACUACGUGCCAGCAGCCGCGGUAAUACGUAGGGUGCAAGCGUUAAUCGGAAUUACUGGGCGUAAAGCGUGCGCAGGCGGUUAUGCAAGACAGAGGUGAAAUCCCCGGGCUCAACCUGGGAACUGCCUUUGUGACUGCAUGGCUAGAGUACGGUAGAGGGGGAUGGAAUUCCGCGUGUAGCAGUGAAAUGCGUAGAUAUGCGGAGGAACACCGAUGGCGAAGGCAAUCCCCUGGACCUGUACUGACGCUCAUGCACGAAAGCGUGGGGAGCAAACAGGAUUAGAAACCCGGGUAGUCCC